UCCUGAGAAGGUGCUGCACGUCUGCCGGCUUGAGGUUUGCCCUCCAUUAUCUGGGGUUCCUAAUGAGCAGAAGGGAUGUAAGACGUUAUCUUUUGUUUCUGUAUUGCAUCCUUCUCAAAUUGCUGAUUCCUAAAACCGUUGGUUUUGUGGUUCAUUGCUCCAAAUCGUGAAACCUGUUUAUUUGUCCUUUGGCAACAUAUACAGUUGUGAGCUUAUUGCUAGUGCUGACUUCGCUAUUAUAUCUAUAUGCCUAAACAUCAAUUUAACACUGCUUGGGUAUAGAUCUACUACUGAAUCUUGACAAAAAUGAAGUCAUGAGUCAAAUCUGGAGAAUUUUGCUCAAACAGAACUUCCAAGCUCUCAGAUUAAUGUCGGUAACAAGACUGAAUACUCACAAUCAGGACUCCUACAGAACUGAUAGUUGGGCACCAGCCGUGCUUCUGUUCGCAGGAAGGAACGGCAGGCAGUCCGACUUAGGUUUCUCCCACCACAACCCUGAAUCCUCCUGCUCCUAGAAAUCAGCUGUGGAAUGCCAAGCGCCAGGUCUAAAGGUACUCAGACAAAAUUUGAACUUGUACUACUGUUUAUAAGGAAAAGGAAGAAACAAACUGGAAUAUGUCAACAGAACUCCCUUGUAACUGUUUUUAUGUUGGGAGCCUGCACAAAGUCAUGUAAUACCAGUGUCCUGUUUUGUUUUGUUUUUUUUUAAAAGGAUGACCCAAUGCACGAGAAGAUAGGACUGAGGAUAUAGAAAUUCUCCUGAGAGUCUCCCCACCGAAUCUUAUAAACAUGUUUUGUGUGCUUUUUUAAAAGCCCCCAAUGCUUUAAGACAAAAUUUCAGUGGUAACUCUUAUAAAGGGCUCUUGUACUUUUAACAGUUGUCUUGGAAAGGGACUGUCUGCAAAUACAGCUUAUCUUGUGGAGUU